CGGCGAGGGGCAGACAGCAAGCUCCUUCUGAAUUCCCCCAGGGCAGAAAUGCAGCAAGGGUAGGAGGUUGAGCAGCUGGUUUGUUUCCUCGCUUUUU
rnacentral:SRP_RNA from 1 species